rfam:Triticum aestivum genome assembly, contig: Triticum_aestivum_CS42_TGACv1_scaffold_130974_2BL
GUGAUACUCCCUCCGUCCGGAAACACUUGUCAUCAAAAUGGAUAAAAAGAGAUGUAUCUAGCACUAAAAUACAUCUAGAUACAUCUCUUUUUAUCCAUUUUGAUGACAAGUGUUUUCGGACGGAGGGAGUAUUAG